UUCGGUCACACAUAGGUGUAAAAGCAAAGACUUCUUUGAAGAGUGCUUCCGGUUAACUUCAUUCCCAUUCCUGUUAAAGUGGGUCUCCCCUGGGUGAUCACGAUAUUCAGAACGAGAAGCAUGUCCGCCUCUCAGUCCGGUUAAUGAUGCGUGUAUACUGUACAACGGACAUAUAUGCAUGGCGGAGAAGCGCCACUGUAUCCAGUGCAGCUGCGACUUCAGCAGCGAGAGGGGAGGAGUGUUAAUUUGACCUGAGUGCGGUUUAUUCCUCCCGUCUCUGGGAAGGUGCUGGGAGAGGCAGAUGGAGGCGGUGUGUUUCCGUGGGUCGUUAAUGAGAUACUGGCUGGGGAGGACAGGCAAGGAAUGGCUGCUCACAGAGGGGGCUUGUUUUGCACUUUUCCUCGUUUCUUCUCGCCCACAAGACAGCAGCUGGGGUUCAGUCUGGUUCCAAACAGGUGGGAGAGACCUCAGCCAUGUCUCGGCUUCGGGAUGCUGCGCCAUUCGGAGCAGGGUUGCGCUUGGUUGUUUACUCGGGGGUCCGAGACUUUUGUCGAGACGGGACAGAUUUGGAAGCGGGAUGCCUGCCGCGUGGCGCCUCGCGUCGAGAAGGAAACGGCAGUGCAGUCACAUCGAACACGGGGCAAUCAGGGGCUUGUCAUCUGCUGUGGCUGUGUGGUCCGAACGCCGGCUGAUUGAUUGA
rnacentral:lncRNA from 1 species